rnacentral:rRNA from 1 species
UACGAAGGGUGCAAGCGUUGCUCGGAAUUAUUGGGCGUAAAGCGCACGUAGGCGGCUUGGCAAGUCGGAUGUGAAAUCCCUCGGCUCAACCAAGGAAGUGCAUCCGAAACUGCUGAGCUUGAGUACGAAAGAGGAUCGCGGAAUUCCCGGUGUAGAGGUGAAAUUCGUAGAUAUCGGGAGGAACACCAGUGGCGAAGGCGGCGAUCUGGGUCGAUACUGACGCUGAGGUGCGAAAGCGUGGGGAGCAAACAGG